AUAAAUGAAUCAUGAUCGUCAUUAUAUUAGAUAUAUUUUCAGUAGCAUAAGAAUAUUUUCAGUAGCAUCAUUUUAUGUUGUUUUAUUUCUCUAACAUAUAACAUAUAUCUAAAUAGUAGAAGGUAGAAAAUGAAUUGUGAAGUCUCUUCUAAGGCCAGGUUAGGCCUGAAGCCAACCACUAGGGAAUCUAUGCCUAGAAUAUUUUUUUAAAAAAACAAAAAACAAAACAAAAAAAACAGAAAAAACAGAUGUAAAAGUGGAGAGGAGAGCAAAUGCUUCUUUUCAAAAUUUGACAGAAUAUAAUGAUGUUAUUUCUAAUAGGGUGGUGGAAAAACUAUAUUUUGGAAAAUUAGUAAAUGUGUGUGUAAUAGGGCAUGCAUCUCUUCCAGCAAUAUUAACGCAGGAUUUCAUCCAAGGAAAUUUUGAGAAUGAACAGGUGCAGCCUUGUUAAGGAUAGAAAGCUGAUCAUCUGAAAAUUAUCACCUGGAAUCAUCUACCUCUGUAGAGUUGUAGCAGUUUUAGAGAUGACAAGCAAGUGAAAAUCAAGGUGAAGCAUGUGCCAGACAGAAGCCUACUAACUGAAAGCCUGCAGCUUGCCUGGGCGUCAAUCAGUAUGCUUUUCCAAGAAAAUGGAGAGCAUCCGUUAAUCUAGUCUAUUAUAAAAGGAUAUAUCUCAGGAACAGCCAGAUGGAAGAGAUGCACAGGGCAAGUGCUAAAAGGAAGUUCUUGGAACCGAGAUUUUUCUAGUACUACUCUUCUUCAUCAGACUUUUCUCAUGGAGCUGGAAACAGGUGGGGGAAUGUGAGCAAAGAGCAUAAGAUGCAAGAAUAGAUGGCUUUCCACCUGAUGAUCAAAUCUUCAUACUCCUUCAUUCAACAGGUAUGUAUCUGUCAAUGCUGGGCCCAGUACCGUGCUUGGUGUUAAGGAUACAAUAGAAAACAAAACACACUUAGUUCUUGUUCUUGUAAAGCUUAGACUAGAGUGAGGGAGAGAGACAUCAAAUAAUCACACAAAUAAUAUAGAAGGGUGAAUUUUUAUAAGCACUAUGAAAGAAGAGGAAGUUGAAAGAUUAUAACAAAGGCAUGUUUUUACGUUAUACCAUGAGCAAGAAAAUGACAUUUAAUCUGAGACUUAAAGGAUGAAUGUGAGCAAAAGGGAAAAGGUGAGAAGAGUAAGGUCUAGACAAAGAAAACAGAAUUCAUUCAUUUUUUCACUCAAUUAUUUGACAAAUAUUUAUUGACAUCUUAAAAUGUUAAUCACUGUUUCAGAGCUGGAGACAUAGCAUUGAACACAGUCCCUGUCCUCAUGGAGCUUACAUGUAGUGGAGAAAAUUAGAAUGAGCAAAAAAAUGUAUGUCAGAUGAUGAUUAAAUGUUAUGGAGAAAACUGAAGCCCAGUAAGAAGAAUAGAGCAUGCCUGUGUGAAAAUUGAUAAACAGGAAGCUCAAUUAAAAUAGAGUCAGGAGACCAGAGAGGGGAGCUCCCAUGCCCUGCAACAAUAGCAGAGCCCACAUGAAGUAGGAAGGCUCCUCUUAUUACCUGGCAACAACUCAGCCAAUGAAAAGCCAUGGACUCUUCAUUUACUAUAGCUUUCCCAGCUUCCUUUUCCCCCCAGUAAAAGAGUUCUCCUUCCCUUGCUGUGCAGGGACUUACAUGUGGCUUGCCAUGUUUGCAGACCCCAAAUUACAAUUCCUUGCUGAUCGCAAAUAAACCCACUUUUGCUGGAGAAAUAACUGGCAGUCUAUUUUAGGUCAACACUACGUUGGCAAAAAGGGAUCUAGGUGUUCUUUUAAAUAAAAUAGUCAAAAAAGAAAACUACAGACCAAUAUCACUGGUGAACAUAGAUGCAAAAAUCCUCAACAAAAUACUAGCAAACAGAAUCCAACAGCACAUUAAAAGGAUCAAACACCAUGAUCAAGUGGGGUUUAUCCCAGGAAUGCAAGGAUUCUUCAAUAUAUGCAAAUCAAUCAAUGUGAUACACCAUAUUAACAAACUGAAGGAGAAAAAACCAUAUGAUCAUCUCAGUAGAUGCAGAGAAAGCUUUGGGAAAAAUUCAACAACCAUUUAUUAUAAAGACCCUCUACAAAGUACACAUAGAAGGAACUUACCUCAACAUAAUAAAGACCAUAUAUGACAAACCCACAGCCAACAUCAUCCUCAAAGGUGAAAAACUGAAACCAUUUCCACUAAGAUCAGGAACAAGACAAGGUUGCCCACUCUCACCACUAUUAUUCAACAUAGUUUUGGAAGUUUUAGCCACAGCAAUCAGAGAAGAGAAAGAAAAGGCAUCCAAAUCGGAAAAGAAGAAGUAAAGCUGUCACUGUUUGCAGAUGACAUGAUACUAUACAUAGAGAAUCCUAAAGAUGCUACCAGAAAACUACUAGAGCUAAUCAAUGAAUUUGGUAAAGUAGCAGGAUACAAAAUUAAUGCACAGAAAUCUCUUGCAUUCUUAUACACUAAUGAUGAAAAAUCUGAAAGUGAAAUUAAGAAAACACUCCCAUUUACCAUUGCAAGAAAAAGAAUAAAACACCUAGGAAUAAACCUACCUAAGGAGACAAAAGACCUGUAUGCAGAAUAUUAUAAGACACUGAUGAAAGAAAUUAAAGAUGAUGGAGAGAUAUACCAUGUUCUUGGAUUGGAAGAAUCAACACUGUGAAAAUGACUAUACUACCCAAAGCAAUCUACAGAUUCAAUGUAAUCCCUGUCAAACUACCACUGGCAUUUUUCACAGAACUAGAAUGAAAAAUUUCGCAAUUUGUAUGGAAACACAAAAGACCCCGAAUAGCCAAAGCAAUCUUGAGAAAGAAAAGCAGAGCUGGAGGAAUCAGGCUCCCUGACUUCAGACUAUACUACAAAGCUACAGUAAUCAAGACAGUAUGGUACUGGCACAAAAACAGAAAUAUAGAUCAAUGGAACAGGAUUGAAAGCCCAGAGAUAAACCCACGCACAUAUGGUCACCUUAUCUUUGAUAAAGGAGGCAAGAAUAUAAAAUGGAGAAAAGACAGCCUCUUCAAUAAGUGGUGCUGGGAAAACUGGACAGCUACAUGUAAAAGAAUGAAAUUAGAACACUCCCUAACACCAUAAACAAAAAUAAACUCAAAGGGAUUAAAGACCUAAAUGUAAGGCCAGACACUAUCAAACUCUUAGAUGAAAACGUAGGCAGAACACACUAUGACAUAAUUCACAGCAAGAUCCUUUUUGACCCACCUCCCAGAGAAAUGGAAAUAAAAACAAAAAUAAACAAAUGGGACCUAAAACUUCAAAGCUCUUGCACAGCAAAGGAAACCAUAAACAAGACGAAAAGACAACCGUCAGAAUGGAAGAAAAUAUUUGCAAAUGAAACAACUGACAAAGGAUUGAUCUCCAGAAUUUACAAGCAGCUCAUGCAGCUCAAUAUCAAAAAAAGAAACAACCCAAUCCAAAAAUGGGCAGAAGACCUAAAUAGACAUUUCUCCAAAGAAGAUAUACAGAUUGCCAACAAACACAUGAAAGAAUGCUCAACAUCAUUAAUCAUUAGAGAAAUGGAAAUCAAAACUACCAUACGAUGUCAACUCACACCAGUCAGAAAGGCCAUCAUCAAAAAAUCUACAAACAAUAAAUACUGGAGAGGGUGUGGAGAAAAGGGGACCCUCAUACACUGUUGGUGGGAAUGUAAAUGGAUACAGCCACUAUGGAGAACAGUAUGGAGGUUCCUUAAAAAACUACAAAUAGAACUACCAUACGACCCAGCAAUCCCACUACUGGGCAUAUACCCUGAGAAAACCAUAAUUCAAAAAGAGUCAUGUACCACAAUGUUCAUUGCAGCUCUGUUUACAAUAGCUAGGACAUGGAAGCAACCUAAGUGUCCAUUGACAGAUGAAUGGAUAAAGAAGAUGUGGCAUAUAUAUACAACGGAAUAUUAAUCAGCCAUAGAAAGAAAUGAAAUUGAGUUAUUUGUAGUGAGGUGGACGGAACUAGAGACUGUCAUACAGAGUGAAGUAAGUCAGAAAGAGAAAAACAAAUACCGUAUGCUAACACAUAUAUAUGGAAUCUAAAAAAAAAAAGGUCAUGAAGAACCUAGGGGCAAGACGGGAAUAAAGACGCAGAUCUACUAGAGAAUGGAUUUGAGGACACAGGGAGGGGGAAGGGUCAGCUGUGACAAAGUGAGAGAGUGGCAUGGACAUAUAUACACUACCAAAUGUAAAAUCCAUAGCUACUGGGAAGCAGCCGCAUAGCACAGGGA